GACGAACGCUGGCGGCGUGCUUAACACAUGCAAGUCGAACGGAAAGGCCCUGCUUUUGUGGGGUGCUCGAGUGGCGAACGGGUGAGUAACACGUGAGUAACCUGCCCUUGACUUUGGGAUAACUUCAGGAAACUGGGGCUAAUACCGGAUAGGAGCUCCUGCUGCAUGGUGGGGGUUGGAAAGUUUCGGCGGUUGGGGAUGGACUCGCGGCUUAUCAGCUUGUUGGUGGGGUAGUGGCUUACCAAGGCUUUGACGGGUAGCCGGCCUGAGAGGGUGACCGGCCACAUUGGGACUGAGAUACGGCCCAGACUCCUACGGGAGGCAGCAGUGGGGAAUAUUGCACAAUGGGCGGAAGCCUGAUGCAGCAACGCCGCGUGCGGGAUGACGGCCUUCGGGUUGUAAACCGCUUUCGCCUGUGACGAAGCGUGAGUGACGGUAAUGGGUAAAGAAGCACCGGCUAACUACGUGCCAGCAGCCGCGGUGAUACGUAGGGUGCGAGCGUUGUCCGGAUUUAUUGGGCGUAAAGGGCUCGUAGGUGGUUGAUCGCGUCGGAAGUGUAAUCUUGGGGCUUAACCCUGAGCGUGCUUUCGAUACGGGUUGACUUGAGGAAGGUAGGGGAGAAUGGAAUUCCUGGUGGAGCGGUGGAAUGCGCAGAUAUCAGGAGGAACACCAGUGGCGAAGGCGGUCCUCUGGGCCUUUCCUGACGCUGAGGAGCGAAAGCGUGGGGAGCGAACAGGCUUAGAUACCCUGGUAGUCCACGCUGUAAACGGUGGGUACUAGGUGUGGGGUCCAUUCCACGGGUUCCGUGCCGUAGCUAACGCUUUAAGUACCCCGCCUGGGGAGUACGGCCGCAAGGCUAAAACUCAAAGGAAUUGACGGGGCCCCGCACAAGCGGCGGAGCAUGCGGAUUAAUUCGAUGCAACGCGUAGAACCUUACCUGGGUUUGACAUGGAUCGGGAGCGCUCAGAGAUGGGUGUGCCUCUUUUGGGGUCGGUUCACAGGUGGUGCAUGGCUGUCGUCAGCUCGUGUCGUGAGAUGUUAGGUUAAGUCCCGCAACGAGCGCAACCCUUGUUCACUGUUGCCAGCACGUUAUGGUGGGGACUCAGUGGAGACCGCCGGGGUCAACUCGGAGGAAGGUGGGGAUGACGUCAAGUCAUCAUGCCCCUUAUGUCCAGGGCUUCACGCACGCUACAAUGGCUGGUACAGAGAGUGGCGAGCCUGUGAGGGUGAGCGAAUCUCGGAAAGCCGGUCUCAGUUCGGAUUGGGGUCUGCAACUCGACCUCAUGAAGUCGGAGUCGCUAGUAAUCGCAGAUCAGCAACGCUGCGGUGAGUACGUUCCCGGG
rnacentral:rRNA from 1 species